AUUGAACGCUGGCGGAAUGCUUUACACAUGCAAGUCGAACGGUAGAGGGGGCAACCCCUUGAGAGUGGCGAACGGGUGAGUAAUAUAUCGGAACGUGCCCAGUCGUGGGGAUAACGUAGCGAAAGUUACGCUAAUACCGCAUACGAUCUACGGAUGAAAGCGGGGGACUCGCAAGAGCCUCGCGCGAUUGGAGCGGCCGAUAUCAGAUUAGGUAGUUGGUGAGGUAAAGGCUCACCAAGCCGACGAUCUGUAGCUGGUCUGAGAGGACGACCAGCCACACUGGGACUGAGACACGGCCCAGACUCCUACGGGAGGCAGCAGUGGGGGAAUUUUUGGACAAUGGGCGCAAGCCUGAUCCAGCAAUGCCGCGUGCAGGAUGAAGGCCUUCGGUUGU
rnacentral:rRNA from 1 species